AUCGGUGUCAAUUCUGAGUAUGCUCAAACUUAGUGGGGCCUAUAGAUUAUGGAUAAUUUCAUGCUUAGGUUGAAAUGUGUUCGUUCGUAAUCAUUGUGUUCAGGUUGUCCUUUUUUCUUAUGGAUAACCUUUUGUUGUGAAAUCACCCAUACACAGGUUAAAGUAAAAGCAAUAGAGAAAGAACACAAAGAACAUUAAUGUCCUUCAGCGAUGUGCCUGCUUCAUGGAGCCACCUGCGUAAUUUUUCACAAUAUUAAGAACCUCUUCUUACAACUAUGAUUGUUCUUAUAUAUAGCAAAAAGGAGAAACCCAAUAUAUAAUAAUGCCCCUUAAAAUAAAAAACUGCCGUAGGCCCAGAACAAGUGCACAGUGCUCUCUCCUAUUGAUGAGACCUAAUUGUGAACAAUAAAUCCUCUGAACAUGAGCCACAACUCAAGAUUUUUACUCCAUUAAAAAAAGUGUCCUUUUUGUUCUGAAUUCUGAACUCUCCUUUUUGGAGAUGAGCAAUAUUUUGCUAUGGGUCUUUCAUUUUAUACUCUGUAAUUCUGAUUAGUAUAGCUUUAUAUUAAAGGAGCAGCAAUAGCAGCAUGGCACUUUUACAUCUGUCUGUAAUUAUUUAACCUCUAGAUAUACUUGUUUUUGGUCAUAUUAUCUGGUGGAAGGUCCUAUGAUAACUGCAAGCAUGUUUUGUAGAAGUGUAAGUAUUUCAUAAGGAUUUUGCAUUCUUGUUUUAUGUGUUUGAAGUGGGUAUGCUUUCAGUCUGAUUCAAGUCGGAGUGAAAGUUUUGCCUCACGCUGCUUAGGGUCUUCCCAUUUAUAACAACAGCUGUGACUUGUUGAUUAUCAUGUCAAAUUACAUGCCUCAAUAAGAUCAUAAAAGGACAAGUGGACAACAAGGAGGGAAAAUUAUGGGGGAAAGAAAAAUAACAACAAGAACACAGAGAUAUUGGGAACUUCCAAUGUAUUUGAUAAUAUCAUCACAAUAAUUCUCUCUAGAACCAUGCUAGAGGUGCCUGCUAUAGAAGCAUCAACAAUACAUCCAACUAGGAAAAUAAUUCCUCUAUUAAUUGGAAAUUGUGAAGGGAAAAUAAUUAAACUGAAUGAUAUAAGGAGCAAAUGUCCUUAAAUCUAGAUAAUUUCUUUGUUGAUUCUCCAUCAUCAUGUCAAAUUUAUUGAUACGUAUUUCCCUUUUUUUUAAAAAAUUCAACCCAUUCCUUGUUUAAUUCUCAGUUAGUCUUGAGUCAAUUCCUAACGUGCCUAAUCGUGUUAUUUGAUUGGUAAUAGAGCCCAAGUGGAUUUAUCUCAUAUUCCCCACAAUCUGAUGUAUCUGUUCACUGUUAUACAGGUGGGAAAUGGUGAAUUCUUAAUU
rnacentral:lncRNA from 1 species